CUGUGCUUUCCUAAUAAAAUUAUAACUGUCGAAAAAGAUGGUGAUAAUAAAAGUUAGAAAAAAUUACUCAUGUGAUAACAAGUUUUUUACAUAAUAUGGGAAAAAAUGAGUUAGAAAGAGAUAAAGUUUGAUAGGAGGACGCGCGAUGGCGACACGUUAGAUAUCAGCUGCAAUGGUUAUAUGAGAAAGAAAUUAAAAUCAUUAAAAUUCUUCUAUUAUAAAUGUCGCUAUAGUUUUAAUAAAAUAUGUGUAAAAACAAAAAUUGAAUAACUUUGGCAUAUGAAACGUUCAUAACUAUUAAUCAAAAGGCUAGAAAGAUGACGUUAUAUUUGUAAUUUGCAAUUGAAUUGUUGUUAUUUUAUAACUAUGGAAAAAAAAAAGAAAUGUGCAAGAAUAAUGAAAAAAUGAUAAAUAUAGACCAAGCAAAGAAAGAAUAUGCCAAAGCAAAAAAAGACUGAAUAAAAGAGAAAAGGAAACCAUUUGCUUAACAAUAUUCAAUGUACAAUGUUAUUUAAUUAUAUAUGUUUUGAAGGAAUCUUCUGGAAUUUAUUCUUAAUCAGAUAAAUAUAAAGUACAGUCCAGGCCAAAAAAUAUAGACUAGUGGAAAAAAGUAAAAGUUUACUACUUAGAAACUAUUAAGAAGCUACUUUUGAUAAUCAUAAUAUCAUGUUAAAACUGUGAUACUAUAACAAGAUUAUAACUAAUAUUACUAUAUGGUUGCAAAAUUGUUAUCGAGAUAUUGGAGGAAUCUAUUUGUAAAACAGAACAAUGCUCAGUACAUCAGAGCAUAUAAGCCAAAUGCAAUCAAGAGUACAUAAGAAUUAAGAAUGUAGUUACCUGAAAUUUUGAAUAGAUGAGAAUUUGGAAAAAUUUUUGGAGAGAGCUGCAAUAAAAGUCUGCUGAAUCAAUCAUUCAACUCUUAACUUGGUAUUUCUUGACAAUGAAAAACAAGUAAAAUCGAAUAAAUGAUUUCAAUUGUAAUAAGUAUCUUUAAAAUAUUUUGUAUGUCAUCAUAUGGUAUUAUCAAUUAUAAUAAUAAGUUAAUGUAUUAACAAUUCAUAUGAAAUUAAAUAAUAUUCUAUACAAAUAGUCAGCAAAGUUAACUAACUUUAUAACUUUAUAUCAUCUGUUUAUAUUCUAGUUACUCUCA